UACGAAGGGGGCUAGCGUUGCUCGGAAUCACUGGGCGUAAAGGGUGCGUAGGCGGGUCUUUAAGUCGGGGUGAAAUCCUGGGGCUCAACCUCAGAAUUGCCUCCGAUACUGGCAGUCUCGAGUGCGGGAGAGGUGAGUGGAAUUCCCAGUGUAGAGGUGAAAUUCGUAGAUAUUGGGAAGAACACCAGUGGCGAAGGCGGCUCACUGGCCCGUAACUGACGCUGAGGUGCGAAAGCGUGGGGAGCAAACAGGG
rnacentral:rRNA from 1 species